ensembl:lncRNA
GAAGAUUUAGGUUGGAUGUCGGGGGGAAGUUCCUCACUGUGAGAAAGAAUGGUGAGGUGCUGGCACAGGCUGCCCGGAGAGGUUGUGGAUGCCCCGUCCCUGCAGGUGUUCAAGGCCAGGUUGGAUGGGGCCCUGGGCAGCCUGGUCUAGUAUUUAUUCCGUGCGGAGGUUGGUGGCCCCGCCUGUGGCAGCGGGGGGGUUGGAGAUUCUUGAGGUCCCUUCCAAAACAUCCACAGAAUGCAUCAUUCUGUUGUUGUGCCAGGGCUGGUUGUGCCCCAGCUGCAGGCCCGGCCCCGUUCUCGCCAGCUGCUGGGGCGGUGUCCUAGUGCUGCCGGCGGGGUGGCCUCUUGGCAGGAGGUGCAGAGGCCUCAGAGGUGUGUGCCCUCCUCUUCGGGGCUCGCCGAGGC